CAGAAGAUAGUUUAAUUAGAACCGCAGCUUUGGGAGUUGCAAGUAUAGGUGAAACUCCUAUUCUUCUGA
rnacentral:tRNA from 1 species